rnacentral:rRNA from 1 species
CUUCGGGUUGUAAGCACUUUUAGAGAGGAUGAGGAAGGACAGUACUCUCAGAAUAAGUCUCGGCUAACUACGUGCCAGCAGCCGCGGUAAUAAU